rnacentral:rRNA from 1 species
AGAGUUUGAUCCUGGCUCAGAUUGAACGCUGGCGGAAUGCUUUACACAUGCAAGUCGAACGGCAGCACGGGAGCUUGCUCCUGGUGGCGAGUGGCGAACGGGUGAGUAAUGCGUCGGAACGUACCGAGUAAUGGGGGAUAACGCAGCGAAAGCUGUGCUAAUACCGCAUACGCCCUGAGGGGGAAAGUGGGGGAUCGCAAGACCUCACGUUAUUCGAGCGGCCGACGUCUGAUUAGCUAGUUGGUGGGGUAAAGGCCUACCAAGGCGACGAUCAGUAGCGGGUCUGAGAGGAUGAUCCGUCACACUGGGACUGAGACACGGCCCAGACUCCUACGGGAGGCAGCAGUGGGGAAUUUUGGACAAUGGGGGCAACCCUGAUCCAGCCAUUCCGCGUGAGUGAAGAAGGCCUUCGGGUUGUAAAGCUCUUUCAGCUGGAACGAAACGGUACGCUCUAACAUAGCGUGCUAAUGACGGUACCGGCAGAAGAAGCACCGGCUAACUACGUGCCAGCAGCCGCGGUAAUACGUAGGGUGCGAGCGUUAAUCGGAAUUACUGGGCGUAAAGCGUGCGCAGGCGGAUUGUUAAGCAAGACGUGAAAGCCCCGGGCUUAACCUGGGAAUGGCGUUUUGAACUGGCAGUCUAGAGUGCGUCAGAGGGGGGUGGAAUUCCACGUGUAGCAGUGAAAUGCGUAGAGAUGUGGAGGAACACCAAUGGCGAAGGCAGCCCCCUGGGAUGACACUGACGCUCAUGUACGAAAGCGUGGGUAGCAAACAGGAUUAGAUACCCUGGUAGUCCACGCCCUAAACGAUGUCAACUGGUUGUUGGGGGAGUGAAAUCCCUUAGUAACGAAGCUAACGCGUGAAGUUGACCGCCUGGGGAGUACGGUCGCAAGAUUAAAACUCAAA